rnacentral:rRNA from 1 species
CGGCGUGCUUAACACAUGCAAGUCGAACGGAAAGGCCCUGCUUUUGUGGGGUGCUCGAGUGGCGAACGGGUGAGUAACACGUGAGUAACCUGCCCUUGACUUUGGGAUAACUUCAGGAAACUGGGGCUAAUACCGGAUAGGAGCUCCUGCUGCAUGGUGGGGGUUGGAAAGUUUCGGCGGUUGGGGAUGGACUCGCGGCUUAUCAGCUUGUUGGUGGGGUAGUGGCUUACCAAGGCUUUGACGGGUAGCCGGCCUGAGAGGGUGACCGGCCACAUUGGGACUGAGAUACGGCCCAGACUCCUACGGGAGGCAGCAGUGGGGAAUAUUGCACAAUGGGCGGAAGCCUGAUGCAGCAACGCCGCGUGCGGGAUGACGGCCUUCGGGUUGUAAACCGCUUUCGCCUGUGACGAAGCGUGAGUGACGGUAAUGGGUAAAGAAGCACCGGCUAACUACGUGCCAGCAGCCGCGGUGAUACGUAGGGUGCGAGCGUUGUCCGGAUUUAUUGGGCGUAAAGGGCUCGUAGGUGGUUGAUCGCGUCGGAAGUGUAAUCUUGGGGCUUAACCCUGAGCGUGCUUUCGAUACGGGUUGACUUGAGGAAGGUAGGGGAGAAUGGAAUUCCUGGUGGAGCGGUGGAAUGCGCAGAUAUCAGGAGGAACACCAGUGGCGAAGGCGGUUCUCUGGGCCUUUCCUGACGCUGAGGAGCGAAAGCGUGGGGAGCGAACAGGCUUAGAUACCCUGGUAGUCCACGCUGUAAACGGUGGGUACUAGGUGUGGGGUCCAUUCCACGGGUUCCGUGCCGUAGCUAACGCUUUAAGUACCCCGCCUGGGGAGUACGGCCGCAAGGCUAAAACUCAAAGGAAUUGACGGGGCCCCGCACAAGCGGCGGAGCAUGCGGAUUAAUUCGAUGCAACGCGUAGAACCUUACCUGGGUUUGACAUGGAUCGGGAGUGCUCAGAGAUGGGUGUGCCUCUUUUGGGGUCGGUUCACAGGUGGUGCAUGGCUGUCGUCAGCUCGUGUCGUGAGAUGUUGGGUUAAGUCCCGCAACGAGCGCAACCCUUGUUCACUGUUGCCAGCACGUUAUGGUGGGGACUCAGUGGAGACCGCCGGGGUCAACUCGGAGGAAGGUGGGGAUGACGUCAAGUCAUCAUGCCCCUUAUGUCCAGGGCUUCACGCAUGCUACAAUGGCUGGUACAGAGAGUGGCGAGCCUGUGAGGGUGAGCGAAUCUCGGAAAGCCGGUCUCAGUUCGGAUUGGGGUCUGCAACUCGACCUCAUGAAGUCGGAGUCGCUAGUAAUCGCAGAUCAGCAACGCUGCGGUGAAUACGUUCCCGGGGCUUGUACACACCGCCCGUCAAGUCAUGAAAGUUGGUAACACCCGAAGCCGGUGGCCUAACCGUUGUGGGGGAGCCGUCGAAGGUGGGACUGG